AACAUCGCAGUUUGUAAAAUUAAUAACGUCAUGAAAACACUAGUGUUCAUUUCAAUCAAUAGUGCAAUUCAAUCAAUCUAAUUAGAAAAGCGUGACUGAAAAAGACUCAAUUAUUGAGGAAGUAAAAAAAAACAAAAUUUGAACUAUUGGAAAAUGAAAACUGAUAGUUUCUGCAAAUCCAAAACAGCAUAAAUUUGAGAUAGGAAAAAGCAAGUGUCAGCUAACGAAUGGGCCCCGAGAUAAUUGCGAAACUAUAGCAGCGACAUGUGGGGACAUUUGUAAGAGCAAGAUACGACCGUGCCAGGUAGGCGGCCGCAACUCGUACUAUUGCGUCGGCCCCGCUAAUGGUUCGCUUUAAUUAAAUAAAACCUCUUUUUAUA